CAGCAGCCGCGGUAAUACGUAGGUGGCGAGCGUUGUCCGGAACUAUUGGGCGUAAAGCGAGCGCAGGCGGUUAGAUAAGUCUGAAGUUAAAGGCUGUGGCUUAACCAUAGUACGCUUUGGAAACUGUUUAACUUGAGUGCAAGAGGGGAGAGUGGAAUUCCAUGUGUAGCGGUGAAAUGCGUAGAUAUAUGGAGGAACACCGGUGGCGAAAGCGGCUCUCUGGCUUGUAACUGACGCUGAGGCUCGAAAGCGUGGGGAGCAAACAGGAUUAGAUACCCCAGUAGUCCCUGUCUCUUAUACA
rnacentral:rRNA from 1 species